rnacentral:rRNA from 1 species
UACAGAGGUCUCAAGCGUUGUUCGGAUUCAUUGGGCGUAAAGGGUGCGUAGGCGGCGCGGUAAGUCGGGUGUGAAAUCUUGGAGCUUAACUCCGAAACUGCAUUCGAUACUGCCGUGCUUGAGGACUGGAGAGGAGACUGGAAUUUACGGUGUAGCGGUGAAAUGCGUAGAUAUUGGGAGGAACACCAGUGGCGAAGGCGGCUCACUGGACCGGUACUGACGCUGAGGCGCGAAAGCGUGGGGAGCAAACGGG